UACAGAGGUCUCGAGCGUUAGGCGGAAUCACUGGGCUUAAAGCGUGUGUAGGUGGAUCGUUAAGUACCUUGUGAAAUCCCCCGGCUCAACCGGGGAACUGCUGGGUAUACUGGCGGCCUUGAGCCGGCUAGGGGCGAGCGGAACAGACGGUGGAGCGGUGAAAUGCGUAGAUAUCGUCUGGAACGCCGAAGGUGAAAACAGCUCGCUGGGGCCGCGCUGACGCUGAGACACGAAAGCCAGGGGAGCGAACGGG
rnacentral:rRNA from 1 species